AUACGUAGGGGGCAAGCGUUGUCCGGAAUUAUUGGGCGUAAAGCGCGCGCAGGCGGUUUCUUAAGUCUGGUGUUUAAGUGCGGGGCUCAACCCCGUGACGCACUGGAAACUGGGGAACUUGAGUGCAGAAGAGGAGAGCGGAAUUCCACGUGUAGCGGUGAAAUGCGUAGAGAUGUGGAGGAACACCAGUGGCGAAGGCGGCUCUCUGGCCUGUAACUGACGCUGAGGCGCGAAAGCGUGGGGAGCAAACAGGAUUAGAUACCCUGGUAGUCCACGCCGUAAACGAUGAGUGCUAGGUGUCGGAGGGGUCCACCCUGCGGUGCCGAAGUCAACACAUUAAGCACUCCGCCUGGGGAGUACGGUCGCAAGACUGAA
rnacentral:rRNA from 1 species